GGCAAGCCCCGCCAGGAGCAAAACCAAAUAGGGCGGCGAUAAGGGGGCCCCUCUUGCCGCCGGGUCGGUUGCUUGAGCCGAAAGGCGACUUUCGGCCUAGAUGAAUGGUCAUCGCCCCGUCGGGCGCGUCCCGCCGGGGUUACAGAACCCGGCUUACCGGCUUCCGGCUCGC
rnacentral:RNase_P_RNA from 1 species